UUCAAAACUAUAAGAGUACUUGGAUUAUUACUCACUCUCACGAGGUUUGAAAAUCGAAUUAUCUCGAGCUCAUAAAUAUUACGAAGCUCUAUACGAUUGCUUUCCUGAACAUAAAAGAUACGUAAAAUGCAAUCGUUCGAUUGAUUUCAUUGAUUUCACUCGGAUAACAUUUGGAAAGUCAUCGAAUUAUUUUUUUACCGAAGAUAUCUAAUAGGGCAAUCUGAAUUUGGUAAAGAAGAAAUCAUAUGAUAUUUGGAGGAAUGUAAUAAUGGAUAUUCUUUACUCUGUGAAGGAAGAAAGAGGAAUGAUCUUUUGAAGGGCAGAAAAAUGAAGCAUAUGGUGCCUCGAGUUUCGCUCGAAACUUGUUUUCAUCGUACGAUCGGAGAGAGGAGAAAGGAAGAUGACCGGACCCAUUUUCGCAGCCCGAGGCUACAUCACAAAAGGAGGCUGGAUAAUCAAAAAGUAUCAAUACGAAAGAAAAAGUACAAUAUGUAGAUAAAAUUGAUUUUUUUCUAUGACAUUAUAUACAUAUAUCUCGAAAUAGGGAUAAUUUCAGGUAAAUGGAAGAUUAUAUUAUUACAGGAGUCUUCUUAAGAAACGACCUAGCGAGAUAUAGAAAGAGUCAUAAAACAUAAAUCCAAUCGUUUUUGUAAAAGGAUAUUAACUUUUUACGAUAUAAAAAUAUAGUUCUACGAUUCUUUCUCCUAUCCACGAAGCAUCCAGCUCUGUAUGCUUUCGUUUUGCACUUCUUAACCGGAAGUCUCGAGGCCGGUGUAACCGAACAUUUUCAACGAUCGUGGCUUGAUGUAAUUCACAAUUUUAUAUUGUUAUUACCUAUUUUGAUAUUUGUAUCUAUUAAAAGAACGACGAAAGCAGAUGUGGGAGAUAGUCCGAUAAGAUAUAGUCAAUUACUGUCUUGACUAUGCGUUGUAUAAUAAUAUAAAAGAAAAUUCAUGAAAUUCGAUAAGAAUAUACGUAAGAUAGAAAGUACAUCGAGUUCGAAGAAAAUUUUAAUGGAUUCGUUAUACUUAAUCUAGGAGAUAUUGAAAAGAACACCAUUAAGGAGUCGAUCAUUGCGACAAAUCGAUCUCGUAAUCUAUUUUAUGCAUCUCAUUGUAAUGAAUCAUUUUUAUGGUUCAUCGAACAACGUCGAUCAGCUCGUGCAGCUCGCGUUCUAAUAAUGUUGCAAAUUUAUGAAAGAUUUUUUUAUGUGUCAAACUAUAUCAAACUUAUCUACAUAUUAAUUUUAUUUACUAACAUGCAUUUUAUCUUGUUCAUGAGUCAGUGUACAAGCUAACUGAUCUACAAUGAUGUGGCAAUCAAAUAUCCAUGACCCAUAAGUAUGCACGCAACUCCAGCUUUAUACGCGUCGCUAGAUUCGUAGGUACUACAUGCAUAUCUUGAACGGUAUUCAUGAAGCACCAGCAUCCUUCGUAAGUAAGAAGAAAAUACGUAACGAAGAAGUGGGUUCCUUGGUCGACGUUCACCAUUCUACCUGCCCGUCUCCCACCUGACCGACCUGAAGAACUCUUUCCUCCUCGGAGAAGUAAAACUCUCGGACGUUUUCCGAUCUCCAACAGUUCUGAGCUCGUCCUCGUCGAUGUGCCAAAUUAUUAACCGAGCUUCACCUUCCAGCUCUAAGAAAGAGCCUCAAAAGAUAAGCGUGUGUCGCGAACGAACAAAUCAGUUUUUUGUUUUUUUUCUUAUGAAAUAGGAAGAAGAAGAAGGAUAUCGUUUGUCGAAGAAGAAUAUGCAUGUUUGAUUUUUUUU